rnacentral:misc_RNA from 1 species
UGGAUUCCGCAUUUUAGCCUUCAAUCACUGCGAUUUAGGAAGCCUCAAUGUGAUGUUGUUUAUUUCGAGUGGAAAUCGUCGUCUGCUUAACACACAUCUUGUUUACGUUUUACCGUUUUACUUGUAAAUUCUCUCAAUAUUUAACCUACGUCAAACUUGUUAGUUUAAAACUUAAGUGAUAGUGAGUGUACUGAAAUGUUAAGAUUAUCUUUUCCUGGGGCAUUCAAGAUUCUGAAUGUACAGAAUAUACCAACGGGUAGGACGUCAGCGACGUCAGUAAGAAAUAUCCAUAGAUACUUUAUAAAAAUCGUUUCAAAUCGUUCAAACUGGUUCAAGCAUCGCAAUGAACUUCUCAAUCGUGAAGAAAAUGUUGUAGAUACACUCUAUAACGGUUUAUUAUCGUUUAAUAGAGCUUGUUUGGCUAAAUCAAUCACUUUAACAGAGUCAACUCAUUCAAGAAAACGGUUGCAGGCCAAAUCACUGUUAAAAAAAGCUCUGCAGCACUGCAAACAAUGUCAACAACACGACAAUUCAUUCAGUUUUUGAAUUGGAUCAUCAGGGCCACCAGGUGCCGGAAAAUCAACAUUCCUGGAAAACAUGGGCAAGUUUCUUACCCAGUCAGGGUGAAAAAAUUGCUGUUUUGGCAGUUGAUCCAUCCUCUACCACAAAUGGAGGAUCACUGAUGGGUGACAAAACAAGAAUGCAAGAACUUUCACGAGACCUGAAUGCUUUUAUACGUCCGUCGCCGACCAGUGGACAUUUGGGUGGUGUCACUCGUUCCACAAAUGAGGCCAUAAUUAUGUGCGAAACUGCUGGUUACAAGACGGUUUUCAUUGAAACGGUGUAGGACAGUCUGAAUACGCCGUAGCCGAUAUGGUCGACAUGUUUGUUGUUCUGAUUCCGCCGGCUGGAGGAGACGAACUUCAGGUAACACCCCCAAUUCAUUUUGCUUUUCUCCCCACUUGCAACCCAACUUUUUGUCAUUUGCCCAGGCGGUAUAAUGGAGCACAGUCAUCUGGUAGUUGUGAACAAAGCCGAUGGAGAUUUGAUGGAAGCCGCGAUGAGAAUGCAGUACGAAUACACUUCAUCGCUCAAGUUCAUGCGACCAGUAUCACCGAAUUGGCGUCCGAAAGUCCUGAAAGUCUCUUCGCUAACCAAGGAAGGAUUGCCCGAGCUGUGGGCCGUCAUGCAGGAGUUCCAUCAAACCCUGUUGAGAACGGGCGAACUACUGGAAACGCGUCGCAAGCAGCAGCGCGUUUGGAUGUGGAACUACAUCACUCAGCAUAUCAUGCAGGUGUUUCGCGAAGAUCCCCGAGUGAAGCUAGCUCUUGCCAAUGGGUCCUGAUCUACUGGCGCAUUAUAAAGAAAUGCAAGUUAUCCGCUUAUAGCCGGAGGGCAGCAGCUGGCGUUACGACUUGAGUUUUCCCUUUUCCCUUUUUUAUAUUAGCAACUUGAUCCUGUUGGCCCGUGGAGCCCUGCUGGUGUAUUGAGAAGGAAUAAUUUCAUUCAUCUUUUCAAUUAGAAAGACGGAAUCAAAUUUUUCUUCUUGUGGAAACACUGGGAAACACCGAGAAUAAUAGAACCAAAAUAAAAACUGUGACAAGGAAAACAGUAAAAGAUAUUCAACUGAAUAUCAGUAGAUAUAUGGCCAAGAAAAUUUUUUUUUUCUUUAUUCAUUUAGACAUUUAGUCUAAUACGUUAAAUCUAUAAUGAAAAAUUCCUUUGAUGAGUUUUUUUCUUCUUUGAAUUGGCUUAUUGAUUGAAAUAAAAGAUGUUUUCGCGCA